AGAUAAACAUUCACAAGAUGCAUUGAUAUUCAAGGGAAGGAAACAUCAUUCGACAAAGUCUGUAACAAAAGCAGUGAACACACACCAUCUCAAAACAUCACACAAACCCAAGAGUUGUGAAAAGCUCUGCUAAAAGCCCGAGGCAGUGAAAGCGGAAUCUUGCUGAGCUGUGUUGACCCUUCCUUCAAUGUGCUCAAUGGGGACCAAAAAGCUAAAGGUCAGUCUUGCAGGUCAUUGCGGACAAAUUUAGUUGGGAAACGCGGCACCUAACCACAUCUGACAACACCACCGGGUGACAUCAAGCUGCAAACCUGGCAGAUGGCAGACGCUUGUUUAUACCGGGGACUCUGGGAAACCAAAUGAUGGAUACUGAAGCUCUUUGAAGCAAAAAUGAGGUAUCUGAUAAACUCUGUAAAGUGUUUACGCACCACAAGUUUCAGAGAGCGCAGUGCAUGAAUGUGACCCUUUAAUCAAUAUGACUCUCUCCAAACAUCGCUCCAGAUUUGCUUGCCUACCCUGUGUGUACCGUCCAUCCCAGUGGCUUUUUCAGAUUAAAAAAUGAGGCAGAAAUGCAAUAAAUCAUUUUAAACGGGUGUUCAGAAAAUAGCUUCGAAAUGUAAAUAAAUCUCUCAA